GGUUUUAACCCAGUAUCUCAAGGUACUAAGGGCGUCCGACCUUCCACUUGUGGUUGUGUCCGAAACCUUAAUUUUUGGACAGCCUACUCGGGGAUUUCCGGGAAGGCGAC
rfam:Oesophagostomum dentatum strain OD-Hann O_dentatum-1.0_Cont11413.4, whole genome shotgun sequence.